UACGUAGGUCCCGAGCGUUGUCCGGAUUUAUUGGGCGUAGAGCGAGCGCAGGUGGUUUAUUAAGUCUGGUGUAAAAGGCAGUGGCUCAACCAUUGUAUGCAUUGGAAACUGGUAGACUUGAGUGCAGGAGAGGAGAGUGGAAUUCCAUGUGUAGCGGUGAAAUGCGUAAAUAUAUGGAGGAACACCGGUGGCGAAAGCGGCUCUCUGGCCUGUAACUGACACUGAGGCUCGAAAGCGUGGGGAGCAAACAGG
rnacentral:rRNA from 1 species